rnacentral:rRNA from 1 species
GCCCUUCCUACGGGAGGCAGCAGUGAGGAAUAUUGGUCAAUGGGCGGAAGCCUGAACCAGCCAUGCCGCGUGCGGGAAGAAGGCGCUACGCGUCGUAAACCGCUUUUGUCCGGGGGUAACCGCGGGGACGUGUCCCCGCCUGCAAGUACCGGACGAAUAAGGGUCGGCUAACUCCGUGCCAGCAGCCGCGGUAAUACGGAGGACCCGAGCGUUAUCCGGAUUCAUUGGGUUUAAAGGGUGCGUAGGCGGCCCGGUAAGUCAGCGGUGAAAGGCUCCUGCUCCACAGGAGAGCUGCCGUUGAUACUGCUGGGCUAGAAUCUUAGCGAGGCGGGCUGAAUGCGCGGUGUAGCGGUGAAAUGCAUAGAUAUCGCGCAGAACGCCGAUUUGGGAGCCAGCUCGCCAGCUGAGUAUUGACGCUGAGGCACGAGAGCGUGGGGAUCGAACAGGAUUAGAUACCCUGGUAGUCCACGCCGUAAACGAUGAUGGCUCGCUCUUGGUUCGCAAGGAUCAGGGGCUUAGCGAAAGCGUUAAGCCAUCCACCUGGGGAGUACGCCGGCAACGGUGAAACUCAAAGGAAUUGACGGAAGGGC